rnacentral:lncRNA from 1 species
AUAUGCUGAAGCCCAGCGAUCUGUAUCUGUUUGCAGAGAGUCACGCUGAAGUGGAAGAAACCGCUCUUCUCCCCAAUAGCUCCCUCCCCAUUCAGAAUGGAGGUGAGGACAGAUCAGUGCUGGGGAUGCUGGAGGUGAGGGUAGAGAAGGAUCUGAGGACGGGGGCCACUGUGAUUACGUCCGUGGCCCCCCUGCCUCCCGGGGACCACCCCGGUGUGACAGAGGUGGAGAUGGUGUUCGACGACGGCCGUAAGAGCGUCAGAGCAGUGAGGGGGUCUCUGAGCGCAGCCGCCCAGCCCAGCGCAGAGGAGCUGGGGCAGGUGCUGAACACCCUGGCUGAGGUCGGAGUCCCUGCCCUGCUGGAGGUCCGGGGGCUGGUACCACCAUCUGUAGAGGGACAGGGUGGACGAGAGGAAGCCGAGGCUGCGAAGGAGGCAGAGGCAGAGUCAGAGGAGGCCGAACUGGAGGCAGAGGCAGAGUCAGAGGACAGAGACCAGGCCGCCGACUCAGGGUCCUCCCAUAAGAGCUCCCAGGAACUGGAGCCUGAGGAGGAUGCUGUUGACAGCAGAGGGGAGAGCGUAGGAGAUGCAGAUAGCGUGAAUGAAAAGGGUGAAGAGACAGAUGAACAUGAUAAUGUUAUUGAUACAGAGGAGGAGGAGGACGAGGAGGAGGAAGAGGAGAUGUUUAGGCCUGAGGAGGGCUUGGAUCCUAUCACUCUGACCUUUCUGGGCUUCAGUCAGGCAGCAACCGACCCUGGCCAGGGGAACCAGGAUGACGGAACGCUUGUCAGAGUAGAGCGGGUCUUUGUGCGUGAAGAUAGCGAUGAGGAGGAAGAGGGAAGGGAGGGAGAGGAGUAUUCCCAGGACCAUGAGCUGGCGUGUCCUCAGACAGAGAUCAGCCACACUUCUACUAGUCCAGUCCUGGGGACUCAUGAAAGGCAGCCUGGAGCAGAGGGACUUGCAGAGAUGGCUGACCCAGGUCUGGAGACUCAUGAAAGACAGCCUGGAGCAGAGGGACUUGCAGAGAUGGCUGACCCAAGUCUGGAGACUCAUUUAGCCACCCAGACAGACUGGCCACAAGCAAGACAGGGAGGUGGCGACACAGAGGAGAAGAGACACAGGAGCACAGACACCGAGGCUAUAGACCCAGCGAGGGCUGCGGCAUCAGGGCACGACCCAGACCGAGGUUCCCCGGAGGUCCCUCUUCACCUCUUGUCGUGUCCCACCUUGGGUACCAGGACUGAGGGGGCAGAGAUGGAGGGAGAGAUGGGCCGAGGGGAGGGAGCUGUGGAGAAGGAGUCACUGGAUGAUGUGUUUCAGGACGUCGGUCUGGAAGACCCCCAGCUAAGUCCAGCCCGGGACCCAGAGUGGCAGUCCUCCUGUGGAGAGCCAAGCAGAGCAGAGGGAGUGGGCAGUCCAAAGCACAAGACCUGCCAGUGCUGCUCCGUCAUGUGAGGUCAUAGAUAGCACACACUCUCACUCUCUCUCUGUCUUUACCCUUCUCUCUCUCUGUUCAUCUCUCUCUCUCUCUCUCUCAAGCUCUCUCUCUCUCUCUCUCUCUCUCUCUCUCUCUCUCUCUCUCUCUUUCUUAAUACUUGACCAACAACAUGCCUGAUCUCAUCUGUCCUUCAGAGGUGCUCUUCAAACGGCACUCCUUCAAUGGACUUAUGCACUGUGUUUUGUCGCCACCUGCUGUUUUUAAGCCAGAAGUAUUAUCAGAAUUGAGGCUUUCACUGCCAUGUAUCAUGUCAGGAGUACUGUGCUGAUUGCUGUCAAUUUAAAGUGGGAGGUUGUGAUUUUAAUUUUGCAUU